UACGUAGGGGGCAAGCGUUGUCCGGAAUCAUUGGGCGUAAAGAGCGCGUAGGCGGCCAGAUAAGUCCGCUGUGAAAUCUCGAGGCUCAACUUCGAGCUGUCGGUGGAAACUGUCUGGCUAGAGUCCGGAAGAGGAGAAUGGAAUUCCUGGUGUAGCGGUGAAAUGCGCAGAUAUCAGGAAGAACACCCGUGGCGAAGGCGGUUCUCUGGGACGGUACUGACGCUGAGACGCGAAAGCGUGGGGAGCGAACAGG
rnacentral:rRNA from 1 species